rnacentral:rRNA from 1 species
CCUACGGGAGGCAGCAGUGGGGGAUAUUGCACAAUGGGGGAAACCCUGAUGCAGCGACGCCGCGUGUGUGAAGACGUUCCUCUGGAUUUUAAACCACUGUCCCCAGGGACGAAGAUGACGGUACUUGCUGAGGAAGCCCCGGCAAACUACGUCCCAGCACCCGCGGUAAUACGUAGGGAGCGAGCGUUGUCCGGAAUUACUGGGUGAAAAGGGAGCGUAGGGGGGACUGCAAGCUGGGGGUAAAGUCUACCGGCUCAACCGGUAGCCGCACUCGAAACUGUAGAUCUUGAGUAAAGGAGAGGCAGGCGGAAUUCCUAGUGUAGCGGUGAAAUGCGUAGAUAUUAGGAGGAACACCAGUGGCGAAGGCGGCCUGCUGGGCUUUAACUGACGCUGAGGCUCGAAAGUGUGGGGAGCAAACAGGAUUAGAUACCCCGGUAGUC